AAUGAACCAAGAUAGCAAUGGUAGACGUUUAGUCAAUUCUUAAUGACUAAGCUAGCUGCUUUCAUAACAUUGAAAUGACUUGGGAUAAUUGUAUAGUACGAUUAAACAGUGAUUCUACGGGAAGUUUUUAUACUGGUGACAUAGUUACCGGAACCGUGAUAUUAGAAUUUGACCAAGAACAAAAAAUUGAAAGAAUCGAUUUACAUGUUAUAGGUAUAAGCAAAGCACAAUGGACCAGAUCCAUGCCCACUAUGCCAUAUAUUAAAAUUUACUCAGAAAAGAAAAAAAUAUUAAGCAUUAGCAUUUGUGACAUUUUUAGUGAAAUAAUUAGUGGUAAAAAGAUUAGACCGGGUAUCUACACUUACCCUUUCCACUUCGCUCUCCCCUUAGAUUUACCAUCUAGUUUCGAAAGCAAGAUUGCUAAAGUGCACUAUUGUAUUAAAAUUAAAAGCAAACCUGCGGUCAAAGUAAGAAAGAACGUUCCUCUGCGAAUUCUGGAAAAUGUCAACUUGAAUCAUUUGGAGGAAAUGAUGAUAACAUCGAUCCACGACUUCGUAAAAGCAUUUAGGACUUCAGGAAAAUUCUCGGUUUCUGUGAAAACCUAUAGGGCAUUCGCAUCCAAACAGACUGUCCCAUUUGAGAUCAUAUUAAACAAUAGUAGAAAAGUAAAAAUUAGUAAAUUAACAGUUGCAUUAAUACAGGUAAAACCAACAUUUAAAUUUUUUAAAACAAUCCGUUACAAUCUAGACCAGCGCUUCCCAACCUUUUCUAGGCACCUCCCCACUGUAACAUUUCUAAAAUUUUUAAUCCCCCCAUACAUAAUUUUCAACAUUAAAAAAAUGGUUUGUUCAUUUAAGAAAUAUAAAUGAUACGCUUUAGGAAGAAAUCAUUAUGAGAUUGUUAUCAAAACACAGUGAGUAAUAUCGGUACACAGUAAUGACAGUAUCAGUCAAACAUAGUGAGUAAUCAAAUUGCCCCCUUGUGGGGCGUGGGGCCCACGUUGGGAAACACCGAUCUAGAGCAUUCGCCGAUGUUUAAAUUCUGGAGAAAAUGUUCAACAAAAAAGGUAAAAGUAAAAUUUCGAUUUCAUUUUUCCUUGAUUGGAAGCAUACCAGUGACAGUGGCAACAGUGCCUGUGAUACACCAUGAUUUUUGAUAUAAAGAAUCCGUACCAAUGUAAUUUAUUUUAAUAAAGAAUGAAAGAAA